AUUCAGCUGACGAGUCCCGAAACGCGCUUCCUGGAU
rnacentral:hammerhead_ribozyme from 1 species